CAGAGACUGUGGCUGCAAUCCUAUAUAUGCUUACUUGGGAGUAAACCACAGUGGACUCAAUGGAGCUCAAUUCUGAGUAGGCAUGCAUAGGGUGCUGCUGCAUGUGAAAGAAAGAAAAAGCAAAGUGAUUUGAGGGAAAUAAGAAUGGGGAGUUGGAGAUGAAAAUAUCCAGAGGUGGGGAAGAAAAUGGACUAGACUAUGGAUACAAGAGGAGAAAGCAGUAAGAAAAUUAGAAGGCAGAAGGAAUAAAGGAGGAUCAUUCAAGUCCUGAGUUCCUGCAAGAAGACAAUUUUAAAAGCAAAUAAGGUUUUCAAAAGUAAAAGAGCAACCAUGGGGGUGAGGAGGAGACCAAUUUCCUGAUGAAAAUGUGCCUCCCCAAAAAGCCGUUCUUCUCACUGGGCAAAAUAUAGAGAUCACGAACACUGAGUGACUUUAAUAAAAGAGAGCAAGAGAGAGAGAAGGAAACCUAUAUAAUUAACACUACUUCUUGGAACUGCUUUAAUUGGGAAAGUGUUACCUU